rnacentral:rRNA from 1 species
GCAGGCUGCAACUCGCCUGCAUGAAGCUGGAAUUGCUAGUAAUCGCGGAUCAGCAAGCCGCGGUGAAUACGUUCCCGGGCCUUGUACACACCGCCCGUCACACCAUGAGAGUCGGGAACACCCGAAGUCCGUAGUCUAACCGCAAGGAGGACGCAGUCGAAGGUGGGUCUGAUAAUUGGGGUGAAGUCGUAACAAGGUAUC